rnacentral:rRNA from 1 species
UACAGAGGGGGCAAGCGUUAUUCGGAAUUAUUGGGCGUAAAGGGCGCGUAGGCGGCUUGGCAAGUGGAAGGUGAAAUCCCUCGGCUUAACCGAGGAACUGCCCUCCAAACUGCUUGGCUUGAGACCGGGAGAGGUGAGUGGAAUUCCCAGUGUAGCGGUGAAAUGCGUAGAUAUUGGGAGGAACACCAGUGGCGAAGGCGGCUCACUGGACAGUUCCUGACACUGAGACACGAAGGCCAGGGGAGCAAACGGG